rnacentral:snRNA from 1 species
AUAUCGAGUAAAUCUUUUGCCUUUUACUAAAGAUUUCCGU